ensembl:lncRNA
GGAAAAAAAAAAACUUGCAAGAUGUUGAAUGCUUCUUUUUUUUCUUCUUCUUCUUUUGUAGAUGAUCAAACAAAAGUUUUUCAUAGAGAGGACAAAGUGUUAACAUGCUAUAUCCUGAAUGCCUUUGUUAUCGCAGUUUUUCACAAUUGCUAAGACUCUUUUCUUAAAAGGAUCCCCUGUUUUCUCAUACUGUGACUGAACAACAUUCACAAAACCUCUGACUCUUCUGGAAGUAUCAAACAAUAUCCUCCAACUGUAAACCAAACAAUGUUUGUAGGUCAUAGACUCAGUCAAACAAUGCUGAGCAUUCAUUACACUACAUCCAAAAAUUCAGCGUUCUGGCUGUGUAGCUCCAGGAAAAAAAUCCAAUAAAUGCAUAUAAAAAGCAUAACUCUAAUAGAGUUUAAAUACUACUAAGUACAAGCAGUACAGGAUUACACAGUGUCUGUGGGUCUGUGGAUUAAGUAGGUCAAAAGGCUAAGAAACAAGCACAUAACAGUACAGUGUAAGUGUAACUGAAAGUGAACAUGUGAUCUGUUCAGCUGUGUCACGCCAGAGUUCCGGUACUGUUGGUAUUUACAGAGAGCUCAGUGACAAGAUUGUGUUUAAAAGAGAUUUUUGCAACUCAGCCUGUUGCAUGUGUAUUUCUGGGAGUUCAUGUUUUUCAAGACACACAACAUUGUGAGGAGAAAUCUUAGUGCGCUGAUAUUUAACGCAGAAAAAAUGGGUCACCUGCUUAACCAGGUGAGCUGUGGUGGUGCCCCAGAUCCUGCUUAUUUAAAGCUGAAAUCUCCAAAUUGAUGUCUAACACGGUGAAACGUGUUUUAAGGUUUAAGAGCGUUCGAGUGACUAAACGGGUUCAAAACACUGUUUGGUUCAGAGAAUGGGAUUUAAUGUCUUAGCAAUUCAGAAAAACUGUGAGAAAUUACAACCCUAUUGUAACAACAGACAGACUAGGAGGGGGAAGAAAAAAAAGGCGAUAUGUUGAGCUCCUGCUCUUGAAUUUUCUCGGGUUUCUUUUAACUGGUGCUGAUGCCUGCUCCUUAUCGAGAGGAGAGUGAAAAGGAAUGGGCAUGUUUUUUUUGUUUUUUUGGGUUUUUUUUUUUCUUUAAAGUCUUGGUGAUCCAUUUCAAAGACACAUGUGAUCAAAGAAUAGAGAAACAAGGUUUAGUACUUCUCCAUUCCUUUGUGUUAGAACCCUGGGGGGGAGGGAUUUACGUUGGAUUGCAACCACAGUUGCUUUCCUCAGACUGGUUUCCUUAUUCGAGCUACUUCACGUGCACACAGAUACAAAGACGUAAGUCUGCGACAUUGCAAAGCCUGUUAUCUUAUUUUUAGCGCUCUUUCUUUUUUGUUCCAAACAUUUACUCCCCUCGGUCUACAUUCCACGGCCGUACAAUCUCAUCCAAUCCCCCAGCAAGGUGUAAGGAAGGUUAAAGCUGAAGGACAAUACUGAGGGAUAUAGUGGGUCGUGUGUGUGUCUGGGUGUGUGUCUGGGUGUCUGUGUGUUUUUUGGAAGGAAUCAAAGCUCAUCAGUAAGAACUUUGUGUGGCAGGUUAUAUGGAAGUUGGACGUGUGUGUAUGUUUGGUGGGCUGAUUGACUCACUAUAUCUCUGCUGUCUGUAAUAGAUGUUCAGGUGGUGUAUAAACUACACCCUCGAGGGCAGUUGAACACAUGUUUACAUAGCAAAUGUGUUUGCCUCGCUUACAUUUGAAAUGUCAUCAGCUCGGCUUUGCAAAUAUUAGCUAGCAGAGAAAUGACCUAACAUGAGCGAGACCUUUUUGGGGCCUGUGGAAGCGAAUGCUUAAUGGGAUACAAAGAUGUUAUUCAUGCAGCCGAUUUUUCUUCAACACACAGCCGUGCUACACAAAAGUGGGAAGGUUUCGUUUGUCCUUCCAGUUCUGCUAGAAAUGACUCGUUAUAUUUGACUUUAAACUAAAGGUACACUAAUCUCACGGCUGUGUCCUUUUAGCUCUCACUUAGGGUCGCUACGACGACUGUUUAUGAGAGCCGUGAAUAGGCGUCUUUAGCUGCCUGGUGAAGAAAACGUAACAAAUUAACUUCAAUCAAUUUUUAACCGAAGUAAAGGCGUAUUCUGUCUCGAGGCUUCAAUCAGUAUUCCUCAUUUUGGUUGCUCUAUAUUUGCAGUUGAAGGUAGCGAGAAAAAGUCCACAGAAAGUGCCUUUCCUCUUGAUGGUGCUGUAAAUUGAAAGAUAAAAUGUAAAAAUCAAAGACGUAGAAUCUCCUUUUGAAACACACAUUGCAAUGCAGGAGUUGCUGCAUUUCUCUCUCACACAUACACACUCACACUCACAGUAAAUGGUUUUUGUUUUUUAUUUUUUCAGAUGGCAGUGCAGACUUGUUUUUCAUGUAUUUAAAGAUUAAGCCUACAUAGUAAAAGACAUUAUGCCAAGUAAAUGGUUGUGGUUGAGCUCUUGCUUUCUAGUGCAUUUUUAGUGUCUUGGACCAAUGGUGUUGUUGGUACAGUGGAAUGUGUGUUUGGGUGGGUUGGCGGAGAGGGGUGGUUGGGGGUCACAGCUGACACUAGCGUGGUGUGACACAGCCCAGCCCACGAAUGGCAAACAUAGCACAGCACUUUAGAGACUGCCACAGUCUCUGUCCCUCCAGUCCCCUUCUUCCUCCCGCCCAGGAGGAGGAGAGGAUCCAGACCUCAGCGUAAACGAGGAGACGACGAAGGGAUGCGCGUUACCAAACGAGGCAGUCGGUCAUUAAAAGUGUGCCUCAUGCUCUUGUGACUUUAUUGGCUCGGUAGAGUCUGCCUGCUCUCAGGUGGCGUGUUCUCGUCAGGACUGCCACUUUUGACACUUUGUUACAGCUAGGGCUGGGUGUCACAAACGUCACUCAUCAGUACCUCCUGGUUUUUGGAAUCGGAGUUUCGAAGCAGGCUGGAACUUUUUAAAUUACUUUCUUCUUCUUCUUCUUUUUCUUUUUCUUUUUUUCUUUUUCUUUUUUUGCACUGAGGGAAAGCAACAUGCGUGAGGAGGCAGAAAGGUGUCUUUUUAAAAAAAAACAUUUGGUUCAGAAAUGAAAUGAACAGAGCCAGUGUCAGUAUUGAGACUUGUCUCAAGAUGCCCAGCCCUAGUAGCAGCCCCAUGGCGUUCUUUCAUCUUAGAGCAAUGCCCUGCCAUGUGUCUUGUCCCUGUCGGAGGGAAUGAGUGCCCAGCAGUAUCCUCGUCUUGAGCCGGUAGGGAUUCGACUGAAAAACCGAGUAUGGUCUGUAGUUCUGUGGGUACCUUUUCAGUCCAGGGGGUGAAAUCUUUCUAUUACAAGAAAUCUCAAAAAACACUGCACCUCACUUACCUUGGUAUGCUGCAUAUGUUAUACUACAUGAAAGAAAACUGCAAAUUGCUUUUAUGACAUAUAAUGCUUGAGUAAUGCCUGAUUGCGAUAUUCUUAUACGGUAACUAUUUUAGAUUCGAAAUAAGUAUAACUGUAAAAGAUAUUCUGUUUUGUCUUAACACUUAUCCAAUUUUGAAAUAUUGUUCUUGAGCCGACUUUUAUUUUGUUGUCCUAUUUAAAUGUGUUGUUCUUUAAAUAUAUAUAUGAAAUAUAUAUAUGCGGAAUAUUUUAUGGUGUAUUUAUUGAGUCCGUUCGAGCGGCUGGAGUGUCCGCGUCAAUCUUGCAGCGUGGCGGGGGUGGAGCCAGGAGGGAGAAGCCUUGAGCCCCUCCCCUUCCAUGUUGACGCCUUAUUCUUCUAGACACGCAAGCACAACAAUAUGGAGGGGGGUGCGAGGUGGAGGGAAGGGCGGCGGCGGCGGAUUUUGACUUGUUCCAGGUCGACUUCCUCCUCCUUCCUUUUCCAAAUAUUCUUAACCCUCCCAUCUUCUUUUACCACCCGUGAAGGCCAGACGCCAGCCCCCUACGUGUUGCAGCUCAUCUCUGACGAAGGGAACCAUUUCUGAACCACACUGACUUGUGUCGAAUAGCUGACUUUUCAUCCCAAGCUGCUAAAUUGAAUAUUUUACAGCAGGAACAGGUCUCAUUCCACAGGAAAACACAUGCCUCAGCCUUAAGUGCGUCCUUAUGUAAUAGAAAUCUGUGUGACUUUUGCAAUGCCUGUGCUGUUGGGUGGCCUACCAAGAAAACUAGCCUAUGUACUUGAUCUGCCCUGAUAUCUCCAACCGGCAUACUCAUCUGUUCUCACCUCGCAUGUAAACCACUAACAUUGCUACACAACGAAGAGCGCUCUGAUGAAUGAACAUUGCUCUGUUUAAUAUGUACUGAUGUCAGAACGGGAGCCAGGUCUGGGUCAAACUACCUUUGGAAACCCUUUUCGGUAUUUGGUGUUACCUGUUGAGCAGUGCCUACAGCCCAAGGGCAGUUUGGAUAUGUACGUAUGCUCAUUAGACUUUAUGCACUUGCCUGUAUUUUGUAAGCUUGUUGGUCGGUUGACACAGUCAUUGUCGCUGAUUGCAAAUCCAAAGAAGGAUCCAAAGAACAGUUUGACGCAGGCCUUACACGAGAACCAGGCGGUUCCCCACUGUGCCGGAUUACAGAGACCUGUGCCUGUACAAUGAACCAAGGAUGAAUUGUGUUGUGAUGAUUUUUUUUUUUUUCUUUUUGUUAUCUGUUGGUUGUCCCUCACCUCAUCGGAGGAUCAGAGACAUUGACCUUUUGAGUGUUGUCAAUCUUCCAAAGCAAGAAACGCCCUCUGUCCUUUUCAACCAAAUGGCUUUUGGUUUAUUCAAUGUUUACCGUAAUGUUUACUCCCAUGGCUAUCUGAUGUUGAACCUGUUUUCAUUACAUUAGCAUUCCAAAAUGACUUCAAACCAAAAACUGCAGAAGAGAUUAGGCUCCUGACGCCGUUUACCUUGUAUACACUUAAUGGUUUUGAAGACAGAUUAUUUGAGAGUGGCCAAGGAUAUCAAACAUUUUGGGUACUCUGAUUGUUCAAAACACUUGUGUUCCGAUGCAUCGUCACUCUUGUGUCAGUCUUAUUUCAAACUAAAGAUCUUGAGCUCUGAUACCUCUGAGUGAGGCACCAGCAAACUGACGUGUACGUUGAACCUUCACCACCGGAUCAUCCAUGUCUCAGUCUCUGUAUUUUUGCAAAAGGCUGUGUUGUACCAACAGCUCUAUUCCUUUCAGUUUUAAUGGUCUUUCUUUUGUUACUCUCUCUCUUAUAGGUUGUUGGCCUUUUUAGUGUUGCUUUGCUUCAGUUUGAAGUGUAUCUUUGACUAAUACUUGCAAUAAAAAUGCUUUGCUUUAU